rnacentral:rRNA from 1 species
GCAAGUCGAACGCCCUCUUCGGAGGGAGUGGCAGACGGGUGAGUAACGCGUGGGAAUCUACCUAGUACUACGGAAUAACACAGAGAAAUUUGUGCUAAUACCGUAUACGCCCUUCGGGGGAAAGAUUUAUCGGUAUUGGAUGAGCCCGCGUUUGAUUAGCUAGUUGGUGAGGUAAUGGCUCACCAAGGCGACGAUCCAUAGCUGGUCUGAGAGGAUGAUC